GACGAACGCUGGCGGCGUGCCUAAUACAUGCAAGUUGAGCGCUGAAGGUUGGUACUUGUACCAACUGGAUGAGCAGCGAACGGGUGAGUAACGCGUGGGGAAUCUGCCUUUGAGCGGGGGACAACAUUUGGAAACGAAUGCUAAUACCGCAUAAAAACUUUAAACACAAGUUUUAAGUUUGAAAGAUGCAAUUGCAUCACUCAAAGAUGAUCCCGCGUUGUAUUAGCUAGAUGGUGAGGUAAAGGCUCACCAAGGCGAUGAUACAUAGCCGACCUGAGAGGGUGAUCGGCCACAUUGGGACUGAGACACGGCCCAAACUCCUACGGGAGGCAGCAGUAGGGAAUCUUCGGCAAUGGACGAAAGUCUGACCGAGCAACGCCGCGUGAGUGAAGAAGGUUUUCGGAUCGUAAAACUCUGUUGGUAGAGAAGAACGUUGGUGAGAGUGGAAAGCUCAUCAAGUGACGGUAACUACCCAGAAAGGGACGGCUAACUACGUG
rnacentral:rRNA from 1 species